rnacentral:lncRNA from 1 species
CAAUUCAGAGCAACUCCGAGGGAACCUGGAUCUCUUGGAAGAAGCGAGGGAAAUGGCGCAGGUUCGGAUGGCGAUGUAUCAGCGGAGGGUGGCCCGAUAUUACAACUCCAAGGUCCGACCGAAGCUUUUCAGAAUCGGAGAUCUGGUGCUAAGGCGAGCUAAAGCAUCUCAACCUGCGGAAGGUGGGAAGCUAGCGCCAAAUUGGGAAGGCCCGUAUAGGGUUUGCUGGGUAAACCGACCUGGCUCCUACCAGUUGGAGGCCCUAGAUGGUCGAGAAAUUCUAAGGAGCUGGAAUUCCGCUAAUCUGCGGAUGUAUUACCAGUAGAACGACAAUGCCAGAAAGACAGUUCAAAAAUGUAUAACACUUUUCAUUUCAAUAAUUUCUGGUUACAACGGCGUGCUCGUGUGAUUACAAGGAAUUCCCAGAGGGGAAUUAGGGUGUAAAGAAAGUAAAGAAGAGGUGGAGACUCCGAGGAGCUGAAGAUCUGGGAUCCCGAAACCUCCAUCUGAAGCGGUUGCAAUCCCGCCGGAAGUGGGUGCUUCCAACCGGAGGCGCCACCGGCGUCUCACGAAAGAGAC